CAGGGCGUUGCGAAGUUUGAGUUGACAAACAUUGGUGAAGGAGCUGUGUGCUGUCUUUGGUUCCUGGGAUAAUUCUCUGGUGCUUUUGACAUGGGCAACUUCUUUGAAAAAGGUCUUCUAAACAGCUUUUGUUUUUUGUUUUGUUGUGUUUCUUUUUGUUUGUUUUUUAUUGUUUAGCUUUCUGAACUGAUACUUCUCAUUUUCCAAUUCAGCAGGCAACCUAGAUCAUAUCUGAAACACUGGGUAAGGACAAUCAUACCUGUAUAGCUGUACUGAACACGUGCCACAAAAUGCAUGUUUCACAUCCUGUCCGUCUGCUCGAGGUAUCAGUGAAGUAGGACACGUGCUGCCUAGCGCUGCGUGGUCCCUGCAGUCACGUCUAGGUCCAUGUCACUGUGGAUCACGGCAGCUGUACUCUCCUCAGUGUUAAUGUAGACUUCAAGAGAAUGCUUGGGCAAGCAGCACUCCUGUACUUAUCUUCCAGUAAGGUAAAGUAGUAUCUGUGUAGGCUGUUGGAAACACUCCCGCUGUAACGUUCUUCACGUAAGACACACUGUACCGGAGCUUGUUGUAAGUGAACUAACGAAAUAAACCAUUUAUUUCUCU
rnacentral:lncRNA from 7 species